ACGGGAGGCAGCAGUAGGGAAUAUUGCACAAUGGGGGGAACCCUGAUGCAGCAACGCCACGUGUGGGAAGAAGCAUUUCGGUGUGUAAACCACUGUCGUGAGGGAAUAAUGCUAUUUCUCGGAAUAGUUGAAUGUACCUCGAAAGGAAGCACCGGCAAACUUCGUGCCAGCAGCCGCGGUAAUACGAGGGGUGCAAGCGUUGUUCGGAAUCACUGGGCGUAAAGGGAGCGCAGGCGGAAGUGCAAGCGGACUGUACAAUCCCGGGGCCCAACCCCGGACCUGCAGUCCGGACUGCAUUUCUUGGAUAGUUCAGGGGCAAGCGGAAUUCCUGGUGUAGCGGUGGAAUGCGUAGAGAUCAGGAAGAACACCGAUGGCGAAGGCAGCUUGCUGGGGACUUAUCGACGCUCAUGCUCGAAAGUGCGGGUAGCAAACAGGAUUAGAUACCCUGGUA
rnacentral:rRNA from 1 species